GGAGGGAUUUCCAAUGUUGGUAAUUGGAGUUGAGCUGUAAACUCAAUGAUUAUAUAUCUUCAUAGGUUCAAUUCCUAUUCCCUUCA
rfam:Candida glabrata complete mitochondrial genome